GAUUUUGACAAUGUAGAAAUACUUGAUUAUGAAAGUAAUUGGAAGAAAAGAAACAUUAGCGAGAUGAUUCAUAUUAGAUUAAAUAACACGGUAAACCACAGAACUGACACCCAAGAUUUGAGUCAAUUAUACACAAAUUUAUUGUUUCUUUGUCGUGAUUCCCGUAUUCCGAUAUGAAAAUUAUUCAUAUGUCUAUAGUGUCUGCGCGUAAUAACACCUGUUCUCGAUUGUUUAAUCAAUUAAUUUCGAUGGUAGUUGUAGCUGUUUUUCCAUGUUUGGGAUGAAAUUUGACAAAGCUUGGAUGCAAUUUUUCCGAAUCUUAAUGUUAACAACAACUUUUAUAUCAGACAAAUUGAACUUGCCUUGAAAAAGUUCGAAUAUACGGACGAAACGUCGGCAUUUAGUUCAGCAGUCUUGUUCUUCACUACCUGUCCUAAUUCCUAUUAAAGUACUCA